rnacentral:rRNA from 1 species
UACGAAGGGGGCUAGCGUUGCUCGGAAUCACUGGGCGUAAAGCGCACGUAGGCGGAUUGCUAAGUCAGGGGUGAAAUCCUGGAGCUCAACUCCAGAACUGCCUUUGAUACUGAGGAUCUUGAGUUCGGGAGAGGUGAGUGGAACUGCGAGUGUAGAGGUGAAAUUCGUAGAUAUUCGCAAGAACACCAGUGGCGAAGGCGGCUCGCUGGGACGGUACUGACGCUGAGACGCGAAAGCGUGGGGAGCAAACAGG